rnacentral:rRNA from 1 species
CCUUGCUUGACUAAGGCUCCGGAGGAAGCCACGGCUAACUCUGUGCCAGCAGCCGCGGUAAUACAGAGGCGGCAAGCGUUGUUCGGAAUUAUUGGGCGUAAGGAACACGGAGGCGGGUUUGGAAGUCAGUUGUGAAAACCUUCCGCUUAACGGAAGAACAGCAUCUGAUACUGCAAGGCUAGAGUGCGGAAGGGGAGAGUGGAACUUCUGGU